CCCUACGGGGGGCAGCAGUGGGGGAUAUUGCACAAUGGGGGGAACCCUGAUGCAGCGACGCCGCGUGGGUGAAGAAGCGCCUCGGCGCGUAAAGCCCUGUCAGCAGGGAAGAAAAUGACGGUACCUGAAGAAGAAGCCCCGGCUAACUACGUGCCAGCAGCCGCGGUAAUACGUAGGGGGCAAGCGUUAUCCGGAUUUACUGGGUGUAAAGGGGGCGCAGACGGCGAUGCAAGCCAGGAGUGAAAGCCCGGGGCCCAACCCCGGGCCUGCUCUUGGAACUGCGUGGCUGGAGUGCAGGAGGGGCG
rnacentral:rRNA from 1 species